UUUCACUAAGCAUUUAGGCACUGAAGCCCAUACAAAGUCAGACAAUGAAAUCAAAAGAUUAGACUGUCACUGGAUGAACAUCCUUUGGAGCUUAGUGGAGUUUAUGAAGUAAGAAGAGCUCUUGUCUGUAUACUGUCUGCCUUGUUUGCUGCAGACUUCCCUUGAUUGAAGGACUACUUUAUCGAAAUGGAAAGGAAGACUUCACAACUGAGGAUAAUGAAUAUGGUUUCCUGAAAGCUAAAUUCUACCUAUGCCUUUGUGUUUUUGUGAUGACAGAAUCUUUACAGAGGAAAAGAGCCUAUGCUUGUGUUUGUAGGAGCUACUGCACACAUGUAGACAAACAGUGCUCAUGCAGAGCUGAUUUGCUCAGAACAAAAUAAAGAAAUUCAGGAAUAAUUGUAAAAAUAAAAUGGCCAUAAGAAGUGCAAAAGCUCAGAAGAUGGGGCAACCUCAUGCAUAGUCCAGAUGUAGCGGUGCUCAAAGAGUAAUCCUAAAGAUCCAAAACUCAUUACUGUUUCAAAUCCAGGUGUUCAGAAGAAAAAUUGAGAAAACAUGUCUUCAAAUUGAGUUCUUUUUUUUU